GAAACUGCAGCUGAUGAUCACUACAAGUAUUCAUCUCCUCCUCCUCCUUACCACUAUCCCUCACCACCACCUCCAGAGCAUUUACCUCCACCAGUGUACAAAUACAAGUCCCCACCACCACCUCAUCAUGUUUACAAGUACAAAUCUCCACCACCCCCACCACCACACCCAGUUUACAAGUAUAAGUCGCCACCACCACCUCCUCAUCCGGUACCACACCCAGUUUACAAGUAUAAGUCACCACCACCACCUCCUCAUCCGGUACCACACCCAGUUUACAAGUAUAAGUCACCACCACCACCUCCUCAUCCGGUAUACAAGUAUAAGUCUCCUCCGCCACACCACACCCAGUUUACAAGUAUAAGUCACCACCACCACCUCCUCAUCCGGUACCACACCCAGUUUACAAGUAUAAGUCACCACCACCAC
rnacentral:lncRNA from 1 species